CAGGGACUCCAUGAUAAUCGAGCAAUGCUGUCUUGCCUCAUUAAAAUAUGAAAUGUUGGACGGGAGCUUCAGUGCCAUAUACUAAGGGGACCCUUACUGCAGAACACUUCCCCAACGUCAGACAGGAUAUGGACGAGGACCUGCGUGAGCCCCGCUGCGGGCGGCCCGAGAGGAUGGCCCGCCCCUCCCCCGACCACGCCCGCUCCCC